GAUGAACGCUGGCGGCGUGCCUAAUACAUGCAAGUCGAGCGAACAGACGAGGAGCUUGCUCCUCUGACGUUAGCGGCGGACGGGUGAGUAACACGUGGAUAACCUACCUAUAAGACUGGGAUAACUUCGGGAAACCGGAGCUAAUACCGGAUAAUAUAUUGAACAGAAUGGUUCAAUAGUGAAAGACGGUUUUGCUGUCACUUAUAGAUGGAUCCGCGCCGCAUUAGCUAGUUGGUAAGGUAACGGCUUACCAAGGCAACGAUGCGUAGCCGACCUGAGAGGGUGAUCGGCCACACUGGAACUGAGACACGGUCCAGACUCCUACGGGAGGCAGCAGUAGGGAAUCUUCCGCAAUGGGCGAAAGCCUGACGGAGCAACGCCGCGUGAGUGAUGAAGGUCUUCGGAUCGUAAAACUCUGUUAUUAGGGAAGAACAAAUGUGUAAGUAACUAUGCACGUCUUGACGGUACCUAAUCAGAAAGCCACGGCUAACUACGUG
rnacentral:rRNA from 1 species